GACGAAGGAUGCAAGCGUUAUCCGGAUUCAUUGGGUUUAAAGGGAGCGUAGGUGGCCUUAUAAGUCAGUGGUGAAAUCUCUGGGCUUAACCCAGAAAUUGCCAUUGAUACUGUAGGGCUUAAGUAUAGUUGCCGUUGGCGGAAUAUGACAUGUAGUGGUGAAAUACAUAGAGAUGUCAUAGAACACCGAUUGCGAAGGCAGCUGACGAAACUAUAACUGACACUGAGGCUCGAAAGUGCGGGGAUCAAACAGG
rnacentral:rRNA from 1 species